UGGGUAUCCAGAGUUUAUUCAUUUUUAUUGCUGAGUAAAAUUCCAUUGUAUGAAUAUACCACCAUUUGUCUAUAUAUUCACCAGUUGGGGGACAUUUGAGUUGUUUCCAGUUUGAGGCUAUUAUAAAUAAAGCUGCUAUAAACAUUCUCGUACAAGUCUUUGUGUAGACAUAUGUAUUUUUUUCUCUCUUGGAUAAAUACCUAGAAGUGGAAAGAUUGGGCCAUAUGGUAGGUGUAUGUUUAAUGUUUUAAGAAACUGCCCAUUUUCCAAAGUGGCUGUUCCAUUUUACAUUCUCACCAGCAGCGUACGAGAGCAUUCCGGUUGCUCCAUAUCCUUGCCAGCAGUAGAUACAGUCUUCUUCUGAUUUUUUGAGUGGUUGCAAAUUGACAACUUUCUCAAAUUCUUCUCUUUAUCUUCGACUAGGUUACCUAACCCACAGAUUCUCCAGUGAAGCUCAGGUACCUGUGUGUCAUUCCAGGGUGUGAGCUGGGGGAAGACUGAGGGAAGACGGGAAGUGAAGCAGGGAAGGAGAGAAAGAAAACACAGGGUGGUGCAUGAUUGAGCAUGUCACAGCUUCAGAGCAAAGCACACCAGGUCACUCAGCCAUGUAACAUCUCCAGAGAGCCAAGACUAGCAGAGGAAGAAAGAGGCAUCUCCUGGUGAUUUUCCAUCAUCUGUCUUUCACUGGUCCAAAUUGACCCUACGGGCCUUAACUCCCCUGAAAGUGUUGUGGCCCCUUCAGACAGCUGCUGGGGAAGCCACAUGCUACAUCUCAGGGCAGAGUGCUUCAUCUGGGUCUAGAAACAGUGAGACAAGCCAGAGCCUCUGCAUGACCAGUCAGGUUGGACCAGGGCACCAGAGUUGCUGUGGUUCCACGGAAGCCACCUUGGGGGAGUGGAGCAGCAGCAGAUCCAGGUAUCUCUUCUUAUGCUGAGACCUCGCCACUACCAUAUGAAGAGGCCCAAUCUCACCUGAAGGAUGAAGACAUAUUAAUCAGUCAUCCCCACUGACCCAGCCAACAGUCAAUCAAUCCCCAGAAGCAGGGGCAGCCUGCUGGCCCACAGUUAACCACAGACAUGUUAGAGAGGCCAGUCAACACCAGAAGAACUACCCCACCAAACCCAACUUGUACUGCCAACCCACAGAAUUGUGACCAAAAUAAAUGGUUGUGAUAAUAAAUCACUAUUUUAGGCUGUUAAGUUCCACAGCAACAGCUAACCAAUACAGCGUAUAAAAUGCUUGGCCUAAUUAAUGGAGCCCAUGAUGAAGAUGAUAAUGAUGAUGAGGAUGACAAUAUUGCCCAUGUUUUGGCCUCUGUUGGGAAUAUAAGAAAAGGUUGUAUCAUGACUUCUGCCCAAAAGGAGUGCAUAGCACUACAUUAUUCAAAGGAAAAGAAAGACAGCAAACAAUGACUUC
rnacentral:lncRNA from 10 species